UUGGGAUCAUUUUAUAUUUUUUUUUUCUAGAUAGACAAGAUUAUGUAUUUUAAAAAUACUUUGUAUACAUUAACUACAUAAAUGGGUUGGAUCACCUAAAAAAUUACGAAUGAGAUGGUGAGAAACUUUAUCAAGAAUGACAUUUAAAAAUCUUAUAUUGGCUAAAGAUUUUGUAAAAUUAUAAUAUAAUAAACUUAUCUUAUAAUUUGAUUUUAUAAAGUUAAGUUAAAUAUGAAUUCAUUUACAGAAAUGGUAUAGGAAUUAUA
rnacentral:lncRNA from 1 species